CAUCCAAGAAAGAACAAAAUUCUGAGCUCAUCCAUGGUCAACGACUUCAUCAGGCAGGAACGUGGUCAACAUAGGUAUAUGGUUAUCUAAGCUCCCAUCUUAUCUAUCAAUGCUCAAAUCAUUUGCUAACUAAUCUAUUUCCUGCCUAUGUAUUGGUGUGAGUCCAUGGAGUCUUGAAGAACUGUUAAGUUUCUGAAUUUUCAACUGAAGUGAAUGUGUAUGGAGCUUUCAUCAGAACAAUUAUCAAAUUUGUGGUUUGAUCAACAUCCAAUAAAAUCAUAGCGUGCAGGGAGAUACACAUAUAUACGUAUCAAUUUCAGUGUGCUUUAGGUGUGCUGCUUCUACUGCCUUCAUAAUUUCAGUGUGCUUUAGGUGUGCUGCUUCUACUACCUUCGUACAAGCAGCUAUGGUUAUGCUCCUAAUUCACGUGUUCUUAGAGAAACCAAGAAAGGGAAUUAUCUCAUAGACAGAUCAAAGGCAUUCUUUUAUAAAAUACACCAUGAAGGUUAGCCAUAUAUUUGUCUUGAAGUCCCUUACCUAUUUCUCUGCAGUUGUCUUCAUCAUUAUACUUCAGGUAAACACGUUUUCUUCUUAACAUGGCUCAGACAACUAUUCUAAAAAAGGUUACCGCACCUGAUAGUUCAUUUUUAACCAAUAUGGCUAUAUUUUCAGAUUUGGUUCCAUGAUAACUUGCUCUGUUCCUUUGUGAUCUUCCCUAGUGUGACCCAUACAAAAUAUGCCGAGUAUAAUCACUUAUGCUUAAUACUUUAGCUCACUUAUCUUUAAUACUUUAGCUAGAAUAAUUUACUAGCAUCCUAUUUAUGCUUUUACUGUAAAAGUAGGGAAGGGCAUUACAAUGAGGAGGACAGGAUAAGAACAGCGGCCGGCCGACACCGUGUGAUGUGUAGCAUCACAUGGAGUACAUCUGGCAGCUAAUGAUGCAUGAUCGCGUACAUCCGACAGCUAAUGAUGCAUGAUGGGUCGACAACACUCCUGGUAUCAUUUUUUUUCUCUUUAGUUGUAAAUUUGUUAGUAGUCACGUCCUGAUAGUCAUGUGUCCGUUCAUAUUUUGGCCUAAAAAGGGGGACAAAUUUUAAUCUGCUGUUGCUUAGCUGAGCUAUAUCAGUUUCCAAUUUUCUCAAAAAAUCAUGUCUAAUAGACUAUCUUUUCUUGGUUGAUCUGGUGGUCGAAUUUUAAAAUGGUGGCACACAAGAUUCAAGCUAGCUGAAGAGAAUACUUGAGUUUACGGUUUUUCAUUUAUGUUGUUCUUUUGUUGUUUGGCAACCCUGAACAACUUCCAGGCCGAGAAGCUGAGGUGGUGAGAUCUUGCCAACAGUGUUGUUGUCAUUGCCAUCGCUCCAACUGCUAGCACAAAUAAUCACUACUCUUCUUGCCUUACCCCUGAAGAGGAUGUGCUACUGCCUUUUUACCUGAUUGGAUAUUUGACUAUGCAAUUAAUAUUAAGUAUACUCGGUGAAACAUUUAUUUUUCUGAUAUCUGGUUAUUCUGUUAGCGAUUAUAUCAGCAAUUUUU
rnacentral:lncRNA from 1 species